rnacentral:tRNA from 1 species
GGAAGAGUGGCCGAGUGGUCUAUGGCGCUGGUUUUAGGCACCAGUCAUUUCGAUGACGUGGGUUCGAAUCCCACCGCUGCCA